GGCGCCAGCGGAUAUCCAGGGCGCCGGUGACGCAAAGUAGGCCCGGCGCGCCGGGUGACAGAUGGCGGCGAAAACGAAGCCGAACACCAGGAACACGGAAUAGUACUUUCCGAGGAUCGCCAGAGCACCGGCCAGCCCCGCUGCCACGGCCCAGCCGGGGCCCAGCCGGCAUGCCGCGUCUCAAACGACCGCAGGAAGCAAUAGAUCGCAAGCGGCCAGACUGCGAACAACACCGAGUUCGCAUUGAAGCGCUGCGCCUGGAAUUGAUAGACCGGCAGCAGCAUGAGCAGCAGCAGGACGAUCGCGCGCUUGUCGCCUUUUGCAAACCGGCGUGUCGNNNNNNNUGAUCCAGAGCGCAACGGCGGAAUUUGUCAUCGCCAGAAGGUGAAACGACCAAUCGCGGAC
rnacentral:misc_RNA from 1 species